GGCGUUAAGUUGCAGGGUAUAGACCCGAAACCCGGUGAUCUAGCCAUGGGCAGGUUGAAGGUUGGGUAACACUAACUGGAGGACCGAACCGACUAAUGUUGAAAAAUUAGCGGAUGACCUGUGGCUGGGGGUGAAAGGCCAAUCAAACCGGGAGAUAGCUGGUUCUCCCCGAAAGCUAUUUAGGUAGCGCCUCGUGAAUUCAUCUCCGGGGGUAGAGCACUGUUUCGGCUAGGGGGCCAUCCCGGCUUACCAACCCGAUGCAAACUGCGAAUACCGGAGAAUGUUAUCACGGGAGACACACGGCGGGUGCUAACGUCCGUCGUGAAGAGGGAAACAACCCAGACCGCCAGCUAAGGUCCCAAAGUCAUGGUUAAGUGGGAAACGAUGUGGGAAGGCCCAGACAGCCAGGAUGUUGGCUUAGAAGCAGCCAUCAUUUAAAGAAAGCGUAAUAGCUCACUGGUCGAGUCGGCCUGCGCGGAAGAUGUAACGGGGCUAAACCAUGCACCGAAGCUGCGGCAGCGACGCUUAUGCGUUGUUGGGUAGGGGAGCGUUCUGUAAGCCUGUGAAGGUGGCCUGUGAGGGUUGCUGGAGGUAUCAGAAGUGCGAAUGCUGACAUAAGUAACGAUAAAGCGGGUGAAAAGCCCGCUCGCCGGAAGACCAAGGGUUCCUGUCCAACGUUAAUCGGGGCAGGGUGAGUCGACCCCUAAGGCGAGGCCGAAAGGCGUAGUCGAUGGGAAACGGGUUAAUAUUCCCGUACUUGGUGUUACUGCGAAGGGGGGACGGAGAAGGCUAUGUUGGCCGGGCGACGGUU
rnacentral:rRNA from 1 species